CAAAGUGUAGCUAACUUAAAUAAAGCAUCUCCCUUACACUGAGAAGAAGCUUGUGUGAAUCAGGCCGCCUUGA
rnacentral:tRNA from 1 species